GGCCCGUUGGUCUAGGAGCAUGAUUCUCGCUUUGGGUGCGAGAGGUCCCGGGUUCAAAUCCCGGACGGGCCC
rfam:Ciona savignyi cont_24259, whole genome shotgun sequence.